GGAGAAUUUUACUUCUACACUUUCUUUGGUACCACAUUUCAAGUAUACCACUAGUAUGAAGACAUUUUCACAAAUACACUUUUCAUUAAUGACCAAAAGACCAUACUAGCCCUAACCUUAUCUCUCUCUCGCGAUCCUCUUUUCUUUCUCUCUCUCUCUCUCGCGAUCUUUUUUCUUCCUCUCUGCCUCCGAUUCACCGGAGAUCCACCAUCUCUCUCUCAUUCCACCGGUUCUCUGCGGUUCACUCUGCGGUUCACUCUGUCGACUCCUACUUCUGUACAAGAUUCCCAACUGGUAUGCAUCUAAUUUCUCCUUUUUUGUUUGUGUCGAUUAAUUUUGCGAAAUUUCGAUUUUGUGGUUAUUAUAGUCGAAAAAUCAAACAAGAUUGCUUUAGACUUCUAAUCUGUACAUGUCGAUCUAAGAUAAACAAUUUUGAUUGUGAAAACAUUGAGUUUUGACAACUUAAGACCCUUUAUAACCUUUUGUAAAUCUGAGUUAUUUUGUAAUGUAAUUGAUAUGUUCAGUUCCUGAGAAGCUGUGUUCAAGCUUAUAUGAGAGCCACAAUCCUGCCAGCACACAUUUGCUUUAAUUGUUGGUGAAUGGUCGAUUCACAAUAAGAAAGUUGGCAGAAUCUGAAAGUUUUGUUUUUGGUUCUGCGUUUCUUAACAGUUGUGACUUACGUGUCUGUCUAGUACUCAAUGUAGCUCAAUAUGUUAAUUAUUUACUCUAAUCUCUUGCUUGUUUCUUGACCAUAAUACAACAAACAGAGCGGUAGAAUCCAAUGAGAUGUGGAAGACUCAGGAGCAAGAAAACGAAAGGCUCAAAAUAAAAUCAAGAGAGGAAAGCAGCAGCAGCAGUAGCCAAAUGAAGUGGAGUAGUAGUUUCUCGAAAAGGAGUUUGGAUAAGAAAUGUAGCUCCAUUAACGAGGAGAGAAAGAUCACUCAUCAAUCAUCAUUGGACAAAAGAUUGUACUUGGAUGAUGAUGAUGAAGGUUUAGGAGAUGAUGAGAAUUGAGUCUUUUCUCCAAUCACGGAACAAACGUGGGAGAGGCUCUGUUGGUCCUAGGAUGGAUGAAAAUGUCCCUUAUCUUCCCACCGAGAAGGUUGAUCAAUUGCAAAGUUCUGAUACAAGGGAAAGGAAGGUAGUCUUGCUGCAGCUUGGGCUCUAGCUAAUCUAUAUUAUCUUGCAUGUUAGAAAGCUCUUAUAAGGGUUUAUAAAACUAUUUAUAAGAACUUAUAAAUCAUUUUUAAGGUUUUAAAAAUAUAUUUAUAAAAGUUUAUGAAUCUGUAUAUAAGGUUUGUAAAAAUAUUAUAAGAGUUUAAUAAUCUUCAUAACACAAUUUAUAAGAGUUAAUAAAUCUUUUUCAAGAGUUUAUAAAUCUUUACAAACAUUUAGAAGUAAAAUAUUCAUAAAGCUAUUAUAAGUGUCUAUAAUUCUAAUAUAAAUGUUUGUAAAUUAUUUAUAGUAAAUAAAAGAUUAUUUAUAAUAGUUUAUAAAACAAUUAAUAAGACUUUAUAAAAUCAGUCUAUAAGGUUUUUUAAAUAUAUUAUUAAAGUAUAAUUCAUUUAUAAGAGUUUAUAAAAUCCGUUUAUAAGGAUUAUAAAUAAUUAAUAAAUGUUUAUGAAUGAUUUAUGAAGAUUUAGAAAUCAUUUAUAAACCUUUAUCAAUAGUUUAUAUAUAUUCCUCAUGUGGUGGAAAACAGCGAGAUGAUGUAGCAGAGGUUUGUGGGGAUAUUGAGUUUGCUGUAUAGUUCUUAGCUAAGAAUAAGAGCGAGUGUCUCCAAGAAGAAUGGGGAGUGUUGGAGAAGUCUCCGGAGGCGGCUUUAGAUGUGGAUCAGACGAUCUUCAUGGUUACGGCGGAAGACGUGGAGAGGAGCAAAACGACGGUGUUAUGGACAGCAAGAAACUUCUCCAGCAAGAAGAUUUGCUUGCUUUACGUCCAUCGUCCUGCUUGGCCUGCCUCCUGCAGUGAGAAUCUUAUGCUUCUCUUUCUCUCUGACUUAACUGUUUUGUGGUGAAUUAUAGAAUAUUUAUGGAUGUUGAAUUGUUCUUGAGUGUAGAUUUGCUCAUGAAUCAUGAUUGAAUCUUACCGAGUCUAUAUAUAUAUCCUUUAGUUGAUUGUGGAUGAUGUUAAUGAUGUACCUCUGUUUGCUAAGAAAAUCUGAGAAAUGAUAUAAUUGUUUUAUAAA